AGCUUCCUGGGAUCUUUGAUGUUGAUUAUGUGUCUGUUCAGCUAAAGUACUCAGGCGUACUGGAAACAAUCCAAAUACGGAAAGAAGGUUUUCCGAUCAGGAUUCAGUACUCAUCCUUCGUUGAGAGAUAUGGGUUUCUACUGAACCAGCAGUACAGCCACCUGGCAGAGAUCGAGCUGACGGCGACUCUGCUGAACAUGGUGGAAGCUGAGGAGGGACAGUACCAGCUGGGACGCACCAAGGUGUUCCUAAAGGAGUCUCUGUACCAGAAGUUGGAGGAGAAAUGGAGCAGCACCCAGACAUGGGCAGCCGUCACAAUCCAGAGGAACAUCAGGGGCUUCCUCUGCAGAAGGAAUUUCAAGUUUUUCAAACAAAAAGCGAUAGUUCUUCAGAGUCACAUCCGUGGACAUC